rnacentral:rRNA from 2 species
UGGGGAAUUUUGCACAAUGGGGGAAACCCUGAUGCAGCGACGCCGCGUGAUUUAGAAGGCCUUCGGGUUGUAAAAAUCUUUUCUAUGGGAAGAAAAUGACAGUACCAUAGGAAUAAGGACCGGCUAAUUACGUGCCAGCAGCCGCGGUAAUACGUAAGGUCCGAGCGUUGUCCGGAAUCAUUGGGCGUAAAGGGUACGUAGGCGGGUAAGCAAGUUAGAAGUGAAAUCCUAUAGCUCAACUAUAGUAAGCUUUUAAAACUGCUCAUCUUGAGGUAUGGAAGGGAAAGUGGAAUUCCUAGUGUAGCGGUGAAAUGCGCAGAUAUUAGGAGGAAUACCGGUGGCGAAGGCGACUUUCUGGCCAUACCCUGACGCUGAGGUACGAAAGCGUGGGUAGCAAACAGG